CUUGUGGUCGCACACCUACAUACGAAAAACAUAUAUGUACACAUAGAAUACUGAGUGAAAAGUUAAUUUUGAAAAAGCCUAACCACCAUAACAUUCAGACUUGAGACUCCCUUGCGAUUAAAAUACAGAUGUUUAUCUCUUGACGGUGCCAUUAUCUUUACCCUGUACUCAAGAAUGUUGAGUACUUCAUCUAAUACAACACAAAACGUCGAUUGGACCAUAUUUAUAUUGAAGUCCUUUCCAAUACAAUGUUGAUAACCUUGUCUUUUGUCAUUUCCAAAUUAAUUUUCGCAUUCCCCCAUGUUUAAAUGAG